CAGAAAAAGAAAAGGAUUUGAAUCAGACCUCAGGGUCCAUUAGGAGGGAAGGCAGCGCACGUCGAGGCGAGCGGACGAGGGUCUAAAACAAGGAAGAGAGAAGGGAAGGAAGGAAAGCACAGAUCACUAAAGAACAAGACAUCGGGGACAAGGGACGUGUCAAUGCCAUACAAGAAUCAGUGCGCCUGAGGUGCUAAGUGUGAAGUGAGAAGAACGUGACCCGGAGAGCAGAGCCGCUCACCGCGACCUGGACACAAAACUUAACAGGGGACUUGCGGCCGAGGAACAGCCACACAUAUUUACAAGUCUUCAUUUUUUAUUGCAAUAGUAAUCCCGGUUUGUGGGCGCAAUUAAAAAAGGGACCGGUUAUUUAUAGCGCUUGCCCAAUUUUUUUAUAUUAAAAUAUAUUUUUCAUUUGAGCCUAAUCUCUUUGGUCAUUCCCAAUGAAGGAAGCGGAUGCCAUUAAACUCUUUAUUGGACAAAUCCCCAGGAACCUGGAAGAAAAAGACCUGAAACCCAUCUUCGAGCAGUUCGGCAAAAUCUACGAGCUAACGGUCAUCAAAGACAAGUACACAGGCAUGCACAAAGGCUGUGCAUUCCUCACUUACUGUGCCCGUGAGUCUGCCCUGAAGGCCCAGAGUGCAUUGCAUGAACAGAAGACCCUGCCCGGGAUGAACCGGCCCAUUCAGGUGAAGCCAGCAGACAGUGAAAGUCGAGGAGAAGACAGGAAAUUGUUUGUAGGCAUGCUGGGUAAGCAGCAGACAGAUGAAGAUGUGAGGAAGAUGUUUGAACCAUUCGGUAGCAUUGAUGAGUGCACAGUGCUAAGAGGACCUGAUGGAACAAGUAAAGGUUGUGCUUUUGUAAAAUUCCAGACGCAUGCAGAAGCACAAGCUGCCAUUAACUCUCUACACGGGAGUCGCACUUUACCGGGGGCCUCAUCUAGUUUGGUGGUGAAAUUUGCUGACACAGAGAAGGAGAGAGGUCUUAGACGGAUGCAGCAGGUAGCCAACCAGCUGGGCAUGUUUAGCCCUAUGACUUUGCAGUUUGGGGCAUACAGUGCUUAUACACAAGCGUUGAUGCAGCAGCAGGCAGCCCUGGUUGCAGCUCAAAAUGCCUACCUCAACCCCAUGGCCACCAUGGCAGCAGUGCAGAUGCAGCAGAUGGCUGCAUUAAAUGCCAAUGGGCUGAUCGCCACUCCAAUCACACCCAUUACCCCCUCAUCAGUAUGGCAAGGUACAAGCACACCCCCAACUAUUGCUGCCACUCCAGUGCCUGCACUCCCUGCCCCGAUUGGAGUAAAUGGAUACAGUCCAGUUCCGACACAGGCUAAUGGACAGGCUGCUUCAGAAACUAUCUAUGCCAAUGGGGUCCACCCAUACCCAGCCCAGAGCCCAGCCGCUGCAGUAGACCCCCUACAGCAAGCUUACGCAGGAAUGCAGCACUACACAGCGGCUUAUCCUGCUGCAUAUGGAUUGGUGAGUCAAGCAUUCCCCCAGCAAGCCACCAUUGUCACUCAGCAACACCAGCAACCCCAACAGCAGCAACAGAGAGAGGGCCCUGAAGGCUGCAACAUCUUCAUCUAUCACCUCCCACAGGAGUUUACAGACUCUGAGAUGUUACAGAUGUUCCUUCCCUUCGGGAAUGUUAUCUCUGCCAAAGUCUUUGUGGACCGAGCUACCAACCAGAGCAAGUGUUUUGGAUUUGUAAGCUUUGACAAUCCAGCGAGCGCUCAGGCUGCCAUUCAAGCCAUGAAUGGAUUCCAGAUUGGCAUGAAAAGACUAAAAGUUCAGCUAAAGAGGCCAAAAGAUGCCAAUCGCCCAUACUGAUAGAAUAUGAGAAGAAGAGGCAGGGUCCAAUCAUAUCUCGAGAUGACAGUGUCGAUAUGACGUUCUAGCAACCAUUAGCUGUCAUGGGAGACAUAGCUCCAUCCCUUGUUUUUCGAAGGCAGUUACAGAAAGAAAUUGAGGAAAUAUUCUCCUUUCAACAAGUCCCCAAACCCUAAUCUUACUCCCAUCUUUUAUCUGCAUAUACCCCCACCACUCCAUGAAUCACACAUACACAUGCACACAGGUACACAUUUUUCAGGUUGCACAGACACAGAUGCACAGCAAAAAGAGUGUCAAACAAACCAUGGGACAGUCUUAUGUAUGCCCAUUCACUGCCAUUUGGAGAUAAUUGCCGCCUGACGGUUGGUUAAUUAUUUACUAUUAUGGUAUUUUUGGCAUUCCCCAAGCCAUCUUACAAGCUGAAAGUACAUUUUUGCUGUUUACAUUCAUAUACCUGAUUCCACUACCUAAUCAAUGCACAGAGAUUGUAGCAAUUCUCUUUUGCAGUGUUCAGCACACAUAUACAGUAUAGCUAUCAGCCAUCCUUGAUUUUGUUUUUCAUUUAUCUAACAGAGAAAUUAAAUGGAUUUUCUCAAAUUCAAUACUCUUAUGUUUACAGCAUAAAUAAGAAUGCUGCCUCCCUCUUUGUACAUUUUUAUUUACUUGUAUUGAAACAAUACAGGUGAAUGCCUGCUUUCCUGGUUACUUUAAUGUAAACAGCUCCGCGAUUUACAUUAGAGACACUAAAGUCAUUGUCUGCAGGCCAAUUAGUUUUGCAAACUUGUGACCUUUGUUCCUUUUUAGCUUGCUAAUCUUUUUAUUGUACCCCAACAAUAACCUGUGCAAUUUAAACCUACAGAAGGCCCAGUUGCCCGCAUCCCACUUACUUAGUCUCCAAAUCCCGAUCUGGACGCAGCAUUGUGAAUGUGGCCUGCAGAAACAAGGCAUCAACUGUCCCAUGGUACUUCAGUUUAGCUGAUCAAACCAGUUCUGGACCAGUUAGACAUGGCCCUACUUUCUACUAUUUGAAAAUGCUGUAGAAAGCUAAAGAAACAAGUCUUGUUGCAAAUACUUCUUCUCUUCCCUUUCCACCCUUUUAAAGGAAGCAAGGGUUGAAUUGUCAUGUACUUAACGUUGCUACUGGCUUGGUUUCUUCAGAUUGUACACAUAUCUACAGCCCAACAGCUGCUUAUGAGAGACCCCAUCUAAGAUUUCUUUUGGCAACUGCUUUCUUCUGUGCUUGUCUGUACCCUGGAGAAGGCAGCAGACCACAUUGUAUAUCUUUUUUAUGUUUUACACAAGCAUUAAUUAGCCAUUAAUUUACUACUGUAACAGCAAAGAAAUGCAGUACUUUACAGCAAAAAUUAUCAAGAAGACAAUCUUUCAAUAAAGCCUCUCACUAUACAGUCUAAGGCAAGUGAGUGGAAGGAGCGGCAUCCUUUGGCUAUAGCAGCCACUUCUCUGCACUGCAGACCAGUUCUCAUGCCGUUCUCAUCAUUAACAGACAGCUGAUCUCAGAAUUCAUCAUUCCUUUUCCUCUGCACUAAAUGGGUGUUGCCUUGUUAUUGAUAAGCUGCUCGCUUCUGAAAUGGCAUUAUUUGGUUUCAUUGGAAGUGAAAUUUUGACAAAAACAUUGCCGGUAAUCGGGAUAUUGGUAUGAACUGUGCAGAUCCUAACUUCUUGGCACUGGCUUGUCAGGUGGGUGAACAAAAGUGAUCCCUAGAGGAGGACACUUUGCAAAAAAAAAGAAGAAGGACACUGGAGGAUACUUUCUUUUCCUUGCUGUACUUUAUGAGGUAGCAUAUCGUAUUAUACUGUAUGAAAAACAAGUGUUUUUUAUAGCUUGCAGCUCUGACAUUCCAGCUCUGAUCACAAAAUGGACUUGGCCUUCAGGAUUUUCUGGAUUUCAGCCUAGAGUAGCAGGAGCUGUGAUCUGAGCAUUUAAAAUGCGGCUAUCAUUGCCUCUAGGCUUCUGCUCUCAAGCAAAUUCCUUUUAUCAUGUCUGGGUAUAAACCCCAAAGCUAUUGCACAUGUCCGGGAAUCCCCCAAUUUAUUGGGUGCAUCACUGACCAGAUUCAGUCUUAAUUCCCAACCACACUCCUUCUUCUUGUUUUCAUAUAAAAUAUACAAUAUAUGAAGUUUAGAACUAUAAUAUUUAGGGGAAUAAAUAUUCAGGGUUUUAACAGGUAUAUAGAGGGAAAAUAGGCAGGGGGGAGGGUGGGGUUAAAUUAAAAAAAAAGAUAAAACUAUUAUUGGCUUUCAAUCUGUCAAUCAUAAAUAUUUACAAAAAAGAGAAAGUUGUGACUCAAAGACUAGGAAGAAGAAAAUGUUUACAUCCUCAAAACUAUCCUAUAUUGUAAAUAAUUUAGUUUAAAAAAAUAAUAAAUAAAAAAGAAAUAAUAAAUAAAUACAAUGAAUGGUUAUGAAAACUACAGAUUGUUGACAGGUAAACUUUUACAGUUUGAGCAUUUUUUUUAUUGGCUUAUAAGAUUUUAUGAUUUUAGAGAUUUGUAGGUAUUCAAUUUGGCAGUCUGUAUAUUUCAGACAAUGUAACUGCUUAAUUUAUUUCUUAUUUAUUGUAAUUUUUCUUUUUAAUUUAAUAUUUUCUCUCUAAUAAAGAAUUCAAACAGA